rnacentral:rRNA from 1 species
GACGUAGGGCGCGAGCGUUGUCCGGAUUUAUUGGGCGUAAAGAGCUCGUAGGCGGCUUGUCGCGUCGACUGUGAAAACCCGCGGCUCAACUGCGGGCCUGCAGCCGAUACGGGCAGGCUAGAGUUCGGUAGGGGAGACUGGAAUUCCUGGUGUAGCGGUGAAAUGCGCAGAUAUCAGGAAGAACACCUAUGGCGAAGGCAGCACUCUGGGACGGUACUGACGCUGAGACGCGAAAGCGUGGGGAGCGAACAGG